rnacentral:rRNA from 1 species
CCUACGUGGGGCAGCAGUGGGGAAUAUUGCACAAUGGGGGCAACCCUGAUGCAGCGACGCCGCGUGAGUGAAGAAGGAUUUCGGUAUGUAAAGCUCUAUCAGCAGGGAAGAAAAUGACGUUACCUGACUAAGAAGCCCCGACUAACUACGUGCCAGACGCCGCGGUAAUGCGUAGGGGGCAAGCGUUAUCCGGAUUUACUGGGUGUAAAGGGAGCGUAGACGGCCAGAUAAGUCAGAAGUGAACGCCCAGGGCUCAACUCUGGGACUGCUUUUGAAACUGCCGGGCUGGAGUGCAGGAGAGGUAAGCGGAAUUCCUAGUGUAGCGGUGAAAUGCAUAGAUAUUAGGAGGAACACCAGUGGCGAAGGCGGCUUACUGGACUGUCACUGACGUUGAGGCUCGAAAGCGUGGGGAGCAAACAGGAUUAGAUACCCUAGUAGUC